rnacentral:rRNA from 1 species
UUGACCUCGGAUCAGGUAGGAAUACCGCUGAACUUAA